ensembl:snRNA U6 U6 spliceosomal RNA
CUGCUCGCUUCGGCAGCACGUAUACUAAAACUGGAACGAUACAGAGAAGAUUAGCAUGGGCCCUGCGCAAGGGUGACACGCAAAUUCGUGAAGCCUUCCAUAUUUUU